AUAUAAUAUACAUAUUCUGGCAUAGGUAUUUUGGCCAAACUGUUUUGCCACCAUUAUACCUUUUGCUUUGGUCUAGGGAUGUCGGAAAUGGAAUAAAGUAUCGAUAUAUAUUGUAUCGGUCAUUUUUGAAUAUAUCAAUAUCGACAUUGAUAUUUUUAUUUCAAAAUAUCGAUAUAUCGAUAUAUCGGUAUGAUAUGAAAAAAAAUAUUUGGCCUAAUCUACUUUAAUCAUCUUACCUUACUAGAUAAAUACUAACCAAUUCACAUAAUUUUUAAUAAAUAAGAACAACAAUUAAAACAUUAGUUAUUUAUUAAUCAAACCAAUAUUUAUCUGAUACAGGCAUAAGAAAAACUCUUUGAUUUACGUGCUCGGCUGUAAGCCGGUUUCUGUUAUUGGGUACUGCGAGAUUCACAGCAGAUGCCACUCUCUCCGAGGAAACCGAGGACGCAGGCGAUAUCAAAUACUUCAGAGCUAUGUCGGAAAGGACUGGGGUAAUAUGACGACAAUCAAACCAGAAUUUUGUUGGAUUCUCUUUUCUGGGUAUUAUAGGCUGAUCUAGAUAUAGCUUUAGUUCGCUACUGCUGGUUGAAGUUGAAAGUAAAGAGUUUGCUGAAGCUGCAGCAAUAUCUAUCAUAAUUUUUUCAUGUCCGGACCACAACGACGGCGAAGAUUUUUCGAAAUUUGGUAUUAUGGUAGUGCGAGUGGGUCUGAGUUCAGGCGAAAGUUGUCCUCUACGCCUAUGUUCUAAACGUAUUUCUUUUGACAGUUCGGUUAUUGCAGUGGAAACAGCUAGCGCUGAACUAAAAUGAAUACGCUUAAAGCGUGGGUCUAAAAUUGUUGCUUUGGCCAGAUGUAAAUGUCGCUCUAGUGGUUCUAGUUUUGCAAUAACUAAAUUUAGCAAACUCUUCUGAACAGCAAUACCAAAUUCGGUGAAAAGCUUCACUUGUUCAAGGCCUCUCUGAAGUAAGUUUGCAAUGGGAAUCACCAAACUUGAAGUCACGUACUGAUCGCCGCUAAUUUCUUCAGUAGCUUGCUUAAAUGGGGUAAGCAAUAUUAUCAGAUCUUGUAUGACACCUAACUCUGAAGAACAGUGUGCCCACAAUCCUUUUGUAAAAAACGCGGGAAAAGAUCUUUACUUUUUCUCCUCUUUCGCCUGUUGAGUGAUGUUGGGACGGUUGAUAUUUCUCUGCAUUACGCUUCUAUUACUUUACGUAAUUUGUGGGAGUAAUGCAGAGGAGUAUUUGUUUGGAUUAAAUAGUUGGUAUAAAAAAGGAUUUAGAAAUUGUUGAUCAUAAAAAUAUCGUUUUUAUACCUUUUCAAUACUUAUAACAUUAUAUCGAUACCUCGAUAUAUCGAAAUAAUAAAUAUCGCUCAAAAAUAUUGUUACAUUGAAAAAAUUAUAUCGAUGUAUCGAUAUUUUUUCGACAACCCUACUUUGGUCGGUAUAGCUAAAUAACGGCACGAAAAUUAUGUGUAAACCAAAGAUCUAGUUAUAGCUCUAUACAUCCAAUUUUAUAUACAUACAUAUGUAUCUUAAAAUUUACCUUUUAUUUCUGCUGAUAAAUCUGUAUGCAAACAAUGAAGUCCGACAACUUUUAUACUUCAAUCUAGUUAAUAUUAUGUUAAUAUUGGAUACAGAAAUACUAAUUUUAUAAAAUAAAGUCUUAAUACGGGAAAUGUUUAAUAUCGCGCCGGUUUAGUAUCGUUUAUGGAGAAAAACAGGGGAGGGCUACCCCCCUCACGCCCCCUUAUUGGAAAGAGGAAGGAUCGAACUUUUAAAUAAACCCUCCCUCGACCCCCUAGAGCCCCUAUAGACCUCUAGGGAGCCCUUUGAAAAUGACCAAAAAUCAGUGUUUUUGCUAAUUUUUCCAUACAAAGUGAAACCAAUACAACCCAGCCAACAUUUUUGUAUAGACAAGAAAUCAAAAUAAAGAAAACAAAAAUGUUUCAGUGCAAUGUAUAUACAUAUUUAAUUGCAUCUAUUAAUGAUACAAAGGGAUCCGGGGUGACCGAAGUACUUUCGUGUAGUACUCCUUUCUGCGUUGGCGGCCUUCGGCCGCGCUCUAAAAAAAUAACCCUGGUCGAGCGAAUACCCGGGGUGACCGAUGUACUUUCGUGCAGUACUCCUUUCUGCGUUGGCGGCCUUCGGCCGCGCUCUAAAAAAAUAACCCUGGUCGAGCGAAUACCCGGAGUGACUGAUGUACUUUCGUGUAGUACUCCUUUCUGCGUUGGCGGCUUCGGCCGCGCUUCAAAAAAAAUAACCCUGCUCGGUCCAACACCGGGGUGUAUCAAUUUUUUUCGCAUAGAACUCCUUUUUGCGUGGGCGGCCUUCGGCCGCGCUUUAAAAAAAUAACCCUGGCCGGUCCAACACCGGCUACGCCAUCCACAAUAUUUUAGCACUGAAGACCUUUUCGCGUUCACUUCACACAUUUGUUGCUAACUGGGUUUAAUUUAUUCCCUUUUGUUCGUGCUUUCUCGGCAAUUUGACAGUUCAAAUUAGGCAGUCAUUUUGGUUUUUCGCAUUAUUGGACUUAAAGCAGAAAAAGGUACAGUGAGCCAAAAUUAACCGGCGCGAUACUAAACCCAACCCUCCGGCUGUUCUACAUCCUUCUUAUUUGUGCUGGCAUUGAGUCCAGUCUGGACCCGGAAAAAAGGUUAUUGUAAUUGUGAACUAAGGUAUCGAACUUCAGAAACUGGUAGCGGAGGUAAAAAUUGUAAAGUCAACAAUCGGAAAUCUUUAAAUCCGCCACUGCUUCCGGUUGAAUUUAUACUGUAUAUACCAUUCAAUAUCUAAUAUCUCUAAUAACAUUGUUUCCUUGUGCCUAAAAUAGUUUAAAUCAGACUAACAGACAAAUCACAUUAAAUGUAACUAAUUUGAGUUAAUUAUUUAAACAUAUGUCUAGUAUGUAAAUAUCGCAAACACGAAGCAAAUUACCUAAAACUAAUCGAGAUAGAUCUGGAGUCGGAAUUGGACGAUGGCCGUGGCACCGCCCUCUUUUAGGUGAAAUCACAUCGAAAUACAAAAAGUGUUUGUUGUUAGGUGAAAUUACAUAUCUCAGGACCAACUUAAUCAACUUCAACUAAACUCGGUGCAUAAGAUUAUUCUAACUUCUGGUGGAAAGCGGACUACAACCAAAGCUACCUCCCAUAUAACAUAAAUUUAAUUUCCAUCUAACCUUCACUAAUUAAUGUAGCAGGUUAAAACUUUGCCCCCACUAUUCGGGGUAAAAGUAGGCCACCUUAUGACUAAAAAGGGUCCAAAUCGAACCAAAACUAUUCAAGUUCCCUGAUAAAGAAUAUGGGGAUCAAAGUUGCAAUUGCGAACUUUUUAUCGAAAUAUCGGUAAAUUGGGUCGAAUCAGAUCAAUAAUUACUUUAGCCCCCAAAUACCUAAUAGAAAGAUUUUCGGACUUCCCGUGAUGCGAUAUCGGCAAAUGUGAUAGUUAUUUUAAUAAAAUUAGGGUUGUUUUUUAAAUAACGGUGCAUCUUUGUCACUGAAAUAGGUAAAAUCGGGUGAAAAACUAUAACUUGCAAACCUUAUGCACCUGAAGGUAUUUCCCUGGCUUUGAUUGUGGCAAGUUGCAAAACUAAGUGAAAUGUUCGGUUACACUCGAACUUAGUCGGAACACUUAGUAGUAGUGAUUUUAAAUCGAUUUAAUAUUAACAAAUUAUAUUGUAUAUACAUACAUAUAUAUUCAAAUAAGUAUAAGUGUUUAUUUAUUUUCCAGUGUCUACACAUGUCUGCUAAUAAAAUGAAAAGUGGAAAGUCCGAAAAUUGACUAGGUUUUCAAUUAAUGGCAUUUUGUCGGCUUGGCAGUGCUCCAUUUAUGUCCAUCUACGAACUCGUUAUUCCGAUUCGACCAAGGAACACAUGUUGAAAGCUUUAUGACGAUAUCUCAUUUUUACUCAAGUUAUCGCUUAUACAGAUAGACGGACGGACAGACAGACAGACAGACAUCCGGAUAUCAACUCGUCUUGAACAUUUGUAUAUAUUACUGCAUGUGCAUAUACAUAUGUAUUUCGAUUAAUUUUAGGUAAUACAAACAAUCGUCUGGUGAACAAAUACAUAUAUUAUAUUAUACUUUGUAACUAUAUUACACGAGUUUAAAAAUGAAUAGGCAACAUUCAUGCAAAGUUUGCAAUGCAAGAUUUAAAAGACAACGAUACAUUUUUGGUGGUUUUAGUGGAAAAACGUCUGCUCAUUUAAAAUAUUACAGGAAAUAGUUUAGUGGAGGAAUGGUCCUGUUGCAGUACACAGUUUACCAUUGGUUUAACUUUCACGGUGUGUAUAAAACUAGCAAUUAUCAGUUUAUAUUUAAAAUUCGUUCUUUGUUCGGUGAGAUCUUCGUUUGGUGGAACAUGCAAAGAGGUUAGUGCUAUGUGAGGGAUUUUUGCAUGUAGGCCAUAAGUUUAAGCAGAACGAAUGUGCGUUAGAGUCACUCUAACGCGACAGUCCUACUCGCGGUCUGCGAUGGGUGGUGUUUCGACUCCAUGGACGCAAUUCAUUGGUAGGGAAUUAUUUAAAAUAUUAAUAACUUUACUGUAAAUAUCGUUCAGUACACCUUUAAAAUUUGUCGCAUCCGAAAUUACGUGGCUAAAUUGCUGUAGUUCAUCGACGUAUUGUAGGAAUGUUUUAUUGAUGCUCCUGGGAGGCGAUCCAUAGCUGUAUGCACUACUGGGAAAAGCACUGAUAUACCAGUUAUCGAAUCUCCAAAUUACAAUCACUUAAUACUGAGGUAUUAGCGGUGAAUUUGUGUGAAGUUAUCACCACAUAGCAGUGCACCUUUUUUCGGGUGAUAUGGAGGAUGUACGUAUGUAUAUGUCCCUUGGCCGGGAAAUACGAGUCAAUUCAGUGUCUGUAUGGUUUAUGAGCGUAGUACGAAAAAAUACCAGUUUCGCAAUUCUUCGCAUGAAAUCUUUAUUUAAAACAAUAUUUUCUGAUGCGCAUGUUAAUCUAUAGUAAAUAGUACAUAGUAAUGCCUAUAUGCACGUGAGUGUAAAUAGUAACAAAGAGUUUACAGUUGCAAUUUCUAAUCUUAAAACAAAUGCAAAACAUUUAACAUCUAUAUAUAUGUAUAUAUAUAUAUAUAUAUAUAUAUAACAUUGAG